rnacentral:lncRNA from 1 species
CAGGUGUGGGGUGUGCCUGGACUUUACCAAGGUGGCCAGGUGCCAGGACAAGGGUUUGGUGGUCGUGGAGUGUUGCCCGGUGUGGCCACUGGGAACGGACUCAAUCCCAAAUCAUUGCCAGGUGGAGGACAGCAGGGACCAGGAGGCUCGGGUCGUGUUGGUUAUGGAGGACCAAUGCAGCCAGGAGUAUUCCAUGGAUACCCACUCAAAACACCCAAAACACAAGGUGGCUAUGGAGCAAAAGUUGGAGGAGCUGGAGGCAAACUUCCAUUUGGAUAUGGAGGCUUUGGUGGUGGUGGUGGAGCAGGCCUUCCUGGUGGAAAAGGUGGUCCUGGAUCCAAGCCUGGAUACCCCAUUGGAACUGGUGUUGGGACAGGAGGUCUUAACCCGGCCCAGGCUCAGGCUAAAGCUGCUAAAUAUGGUGCUGGUCCUGGUUUGGGUGGUGUGCCUGGUGCAGGUGGAGCUUACCCUGGAGCAGGAGGAGCUUACCCUGGAGCAGGAGGAGCUUACCCUGGAGGAGUCCCAGGAGGUGCGGGUGGGGUCCCAGGUCUUGGAUCAGUAGCAGGAGGAGCAGGAGGAGUACCUGGAUGGUUACCCGCAGGAGCUGGAGGAUAUAACCCUGCUGCGGCCAAAGCUGCUAAAUAUGGAGUUCCAGGGGGUGCAGGUGCAGGCCUAGGAGCUGGAGGAUUUGGUGGGGUACCAGGAGGAGGAGGAGGGGGUGUACCUGGGGCCGGAGGACUCCCAGGAGGAGGUGCAGGCAGGCUCCCAGGUGCUGGCUCAGUCGCAGGAGGAGCAGGAGGAGUACCUGGGGCUGGAGGAUAUAAUCCUGCUGCGGCCAAAGCCGCUAAAUAUGGAGUUCCAGGAGGAGCAGGUGCAGGGUUAGGAGGAGCUGGAGGCUAUGGAGCGGGAGCCAGGCCUCCCUAUUACGGUGUUCCAGGGGGUGCUGGAUUUGGGGGAGCAGGAGCUUUUCCAGGGUCUGGAGGAUUCAACCCUGCCGCCGCCGCCAAAGCUGCUAAAUAUGGGGUCCCAGGAGGUACAGGGGCAGGCCUAGGAGCUGGAGGUCUUGGAGGAACAGGAGGGGUACCAGCAGGAGGAGCUGGGGCUGGAGGUGUCCCCGGAGGUGCAGGAGCAGGCCUAGGAGCAGGAGGAGUACCAGGAGGAGGAGCAGGGGGGGUACCUGGGGCUGGAGGAUAUAAUCCUGCUGCAGCCAAAGCAGCUAAAUAUGGAGUUCCAGGAGGUACAGGAGCAAGCCUAGGAGCUGGAGGACUUGGAGGAGGAUAUGGAGGAGCAGGAGGGGCUGGGGCUGGAGGAUAUAACCCUGCUGCGGCCAAAGCUGCUAAAUAUGGAGUUCCAGGAGGCCUAGGAACAGGCUUAGGAGGAGGAGGACUUGGAGGAGUACAGGGAGGAGUACCUGGAGGAGGAGCAGGGGGUGUACCUGGGGCUGGAGGAUAUAAUCCUGCUGCAGCCAAAGCUGCUAAAUAUGGUCAGGGGGCUGCUGGUGGGCCAGGGGGUGGAUAUGGUGGCGUGCCUGCUGGAGGAUAUCCCAGGCCUGGGGGCUAUGGGGGGUAUGGAGGGGCAGGAGCUGGAGGGUAUAAUCCUGCUGUGGCCAAAGCUGCUAAAUAUGUCCCAGGAGCUGGAGGAGCAGGCCUAGGAGCUGGAGGAGCAGGCCUAGGAGGAGCAGGAGGAGUACCAGGGCCUGGGGCUGGACCAGGAUAUGGAGGCUAUGGAGGAUAUGGAGGGGUACCAGCAGGAGGGGCUGCUGCUGCGGCCAAAGCUGCUAAAUAUGGAGUACCAGGAGGUGCAGGAGCAGGCCUUGGAGCUGGAGGACUUGGAGGAGCAGGAGGAGUACCAGGGGCUGGAGGAUAUAACCCUGCAGUGGCCAAAGCGGCUAAAUAUGGAGUCCCCGGAGGUGCAGGAGCAGGCAUAAGAGCUGGAGGAACAGGAGGAUUACCAGGAGGAGGAGCAGGGGGUGUACCUGGGGCUGGAGGAUAUAAUCCCGCUGCAGCCAAAGCUGCUAAAUAUGGAGUCCCAGGAGGUGUAGGAACAGGCCUAGGAGCAGGAGGACUUGGAGGAGGAGGACAGGGAGGAGUACCUGGACAAGUAGGAGCUGGAGGAUAUGAUCCCGCAGCCAAAGCUGCUAAAUAUGGUAUGCCAAGUGGGGCGGGCAUCGGUGGAGAAGGUGUGCCAGCACCUAUAGCGACUCCAAGACCAGGUGUGGGCGUGGGUGGUGGUGUUGGAGGAACUGCCAUUGAGCGCACUGACGUACCAGUGGGCACAGGGAUACCUAUCGCAGGCAAACCAGCAGAGGAUUCAUCUCUAGAACCCAGUGGAACUCCCAUCCCAGGUGCCACAGGAGUAACUGGAGUUGGGGCUGGGGUUCUUCAACCUAGUGUUGGUACAGGCCCAGCUCAGCCUGGUGUGGGUGUCGGAGCAGGUGGCAAAGCUCCUAAACCCCCUGGUGCAGGGGGAUACCCGUAUGGUGGUUAUGGACAGGGUGCUGGUGGAUAUCCCUAUGGAGGAGGACAUGGAAAUCCAUACGGAGCAGGAGCUGGACAACUUCCUGGAGCCAAGCCCCUGAAACCUCCAGUUGUGGGAGGAGCAGGUGGUGUGGCUGGAGGAGCAGGUAUCCCUCUUACUGGAGCAGGUGGUGGUGCAGGGGGAUACCCGUAUGGUUAUGGUCAAGGUGGUUAUGGACAGGGACAGGGUGUGAGGUAUCCCACUGGUGUUGGUCUGGGGGCAGGAGCAGGUCAAAAAGCACCCAAACCCCCAGGUUAUGGUAACCUAGGUGCUGGUGGUGCUGGUUAUAAUCCAGGUGCUGGUGCGGUCCCAGGUUACGGCGGUGGCUACCCACAACAACAGGGUUACCCACAGCAAGGUGGCAGCUACCCACAACAACCCUACCCAGGAGCAUAUGGAGCAGGCCAGACGGCACCACUGACUCCUCAACAAGCCAAAGCAGCCAAGUAUGGCCCACUCCAGGGCUUCCUUGGUGGAGCAGGAGGAGGAGGCUACAGACCAGGAGGAGUUGCUGCUGGAUGCCAAAGCAAAUACUGUGGAAGGCAGAAGUAGAGGAUGUUCUUCAGAAGAAGUUGAACCUCAAGAAACAAUGGUGCUACUGCAUGAUCUAGAAUGUACAUUUUAUAUGCACAAAAUCCCCCAUUACAGUAUGUAAAGAUAUGUUGUACUUUAUUUGACUCAAUAUAUUUUUUAUACAAACCCACCGACCCAGACUUUUGCACACAUUUGAUGUGACUUAGUGUUUUUGAUUGUGCCUUUAUCAUUGUUCAUUGUGUUCAUCAGCUCUUACUGACAUGUCUGCGAUGCUCCCUUUUAGUAGUUACCAAGUGUUUGUAUGUGCAUGCAUGUGUGUGGGCGUGGAUGUGUGGCUGUGUGUCUCUCUAUGUGCUUGUGAGUUUUCACAUGUUGCCAGAGAUGUUUGGGUAUAUAGGAGAAUAUGAAAGAUUAUCCAACUAGAGCCAUUCAGCAUGCUUUUAAUGCAGAGAAGUGCUCCAAGUCAAAACCAGCACCAUUCCUGUAACUGUACAUCCCUCUCCAUGUGCUUAGUGUCUGUGUGUACCAAAGUUGGAGAUCUUCACAUACUGACAUCUCAAACCAAGGGUUGAGCUUCAAGAGGUGUGGUUGGUAAAGUGCUGAUAAACUUUGGCCAUGUAUCUUCAGAACUGCCUCCUCUGGCUUUCUAUCAUCUCUGCUGCUAUUUAUAGCCCUGGGUGAAAUAGCAGUGGCAUAGCGCGUGUGUGUGGGCACAGGUUUCACAGUCCAUCUGCCAUCAGCAACUUUGACUAUAUUUUAAGUGCCAUGGUGUAAGUAGCCUUCUUGCCUUGAUUUCUGACAAACUUGGGAAGUAUGAAGAGCAGGUGUUGCUCUGAAUGUGAUAAAGCUGAUGACAAUCAAUCCAAAGGUGUUCAAAAGAUUUGUAGGUGAUAUCUUCAGUGAUAUUCAUAUCAUACAUUGUGUUGGUUUGUACCCAAGUCCUUUCAAAUGGUGUGUUUUGUUUUUUAAAUGAUUUGUAUGUUUUAAGUUUUACAAACAUGUAAAAGUAAAACUGAAAUCCUUUCGAUACUGCUCUGGCAUGUCUUGUACGUUAUGUAUGUAUGUAUUGAACAUUUUGUUUUAUUAAUUACUUAUCAUUUUUCUGGUGUCCAAGAUUAAGUGCCUAGAAUGUUAUGCAUAUCUGUAAUCAAUCUAGUUUCACAUGCAGUUAUAGUUUCAUUUAUGCAAAUUGUCGCUCAUUAUUCAAGUUUCAAAUGUUUCCGCUCAUGAAAGUAGACUAUCACCAUAUUUGUGUAAUCUUGAAUAAGGCAAAAAAUGUUUGUUAAAAAAAAAUAUAUAUUUGGGUAAUGCAUUUAAUCACUGUUGAGAAUUUUAAUAUGUGUCUGUGUGUAGGCUAUAGCCCCUAGUCUGUGUAAAUUGUGAGAGUGAGCUCCCAUUUCACUCUUUACUUGAGUUAGUUACAGUUGAAUAAGACUCACUAGACAUUACUGACCAAAGAUUGAUUCGCUCUGUUAUAAAGUUACACUACGAUGUCUCUUUAGGGAUUGUGUGUACUGUAUGUUGUAGUAAUUGCCCUAGGUUAUCAUGACUCUCACUCGCUUCAGUUUUUGUAGCCUACUCGUGAGGCUUUUUCUGAACUGUGUGUGAGCCGCUCCUCUGCCGUGCGGUGGGAUAGUAUUCAUCUUAUUUAAAUGGAAAAAGGAGGAACGAUGGGGUUUUGCACUUUUAUAUUUUCAUGACGCACAUGUGACUUGUUCCCGGUAAUCCCGGCAUUUUAUUUGCUUAAGUAAAAUAACGAAAUAAAAUGGUUAAUAAAUACA